GACGAACCGUGCGAACGUUAUUCGGAAUCACUGGGCUUAAAGCGCGUGUAGGCGGAUGGGAACGUCGGUCGCUGAAAUCCCCCGGCUCAACCGGGGAACGGGCGCCGAAACGACCCGUCUGGAGGGACGUAGGGGGACCUGGAACUCCCGGUGGAGCGGUGAAAUGCGUUGAGAUCGGAAGGAACGCCCGUGGCGAAAGCGAGGUCCUGGACGUCUACUGACGCUGAGACGCGAAAGCUAGGGUAGCGAACGGG
rnacentral:rRNA from 1 species